rnacentral:rRNA from 1 species
AUUGAACGCUGGCGGCAGGCCUAACACAUGCAAGUCGAACGAGUGGCGGACGGGGGAGUAAUGUCUGGGAAACUGUCCGAUGGAGGGGGAUAACUACUGGAAACGGUAGCUAAUACCGCAUACCAUCGGAUGUGCCCAGAUGGGAGUAGCUAGUAGGGGGGGUAACGGCUCACCUAGGAAACGAUACCUACCUGGUCUGAGAGGAUGACCAGCAACACUGGAAGUGAGACACGGUCCAGACUCCUACGGGAGGCAGCAUGGGGGAAUAUUGCACAAUGGGCGCAAGCCUGAUGCAGCCAGGCCGCGUGUAUGAAGAAGGCCUUCGGGUGGUAAAGUACUUUCAGCGAGGAGGCGUUACUCGCAGAAGAAGCACCGGCUAACUCCGUGCCAGCAGCCGCGGUAAUUC